UUUCAUUGUUUUCGAUUUUGGUUUUUUUUUUUGUUAAUGUAAUUCGGUUAAAAGUAAGCGUAAAAACCUGAAAUUUUGGUAACGGCCGGACAAUUUUAAUCUCGUAAAUAAUUUAGUAGAUGACGAAACGGAUCAAAAUGUUCGCAUUUUCAAAUAUCGUUGUUAGACACGGUAAAACGUUCAAAACAUUCUGUUGGUUUUCAAGCUAUUAUUUCUAUAGCUGUUUAAAGUUUUCGAGGUUUUUUAGUUUUUAUUUGGUUCUGAGUAUGCGGAUUAAAUUGAUAUAGCCC